UACGGGGGGGCAAGCGUUGUUCGGAAUUACUGGGCGUAAAGGGCUCGUAGGCGGCCAACUAAGUCAGACGUGAAAUCCCCAGGCUCAACCUGGGAACUGCGUCUGAUACUGGAUGGCUUGAAUCCGGGAGAGGGAUGCAGAAUUCCAGGUGUAGCGGUGAAAUGCGUAGAUAUCUGGAGGAAUACCGGUGGCGAAGGCGGCAUCCUGGACCGACAUUGACGCUGAUGAGCGAAAGCUAGGGGAGCAAACGGG
rnacentral:rRNA from 1 species